GUGGACGCUGGAUGUAUGGGUGUGUGGGCUCUGAAAUUUUGCACACAUUUACAAUAAUUGUAAAUGUGUUGAAAAUCGUUUGCACGACUGCGA
rnacentral:pre_miRNA from 13 species